rnacentral:rRNA from 1 species
UACAGAGGUCUCAAGCGUUGUUCGGAUUCAUUGGGCGUAAAGGGUGCGUAGGCGGCGCGCUAAGUCAGGUGUGAAAUUUCGGAGCUUAACUCCGAAACUGCAUUUGAUACUGGCGUGCUUGAGGACUGGAGAGGAGACUGGAAUUCAUGGUGUAGCAGUGAAAUGCGUAGAGAUCAUGAGGAAGACCAGUGGCGAAGGCGGGUCUCUGGACAGUUACUGACACUGAGGCACGAAGGCCAGGGGAGCAAACGGG